UACAGGGGGGGCAAGCGUUGUUCGGAAUUACUGGGCGUAAAGGGCUCGUAGGUGGCCAACUAAGUCAGACGUGAAAUCCCUCAGCUUAACUGGGGAACUGCGUCUGAUACUGGAUGGCUUGAGUUUGGGAGAGGGAUGCGGAAUUCCAGGUGUAGCGGUGAAAUGCGUAGAUAUCGGAAGGAACAUCAGUGGCGAAGGCGACUUUCUGGACAAAGACUGACACUGAGGCACGAAAGCAUGGGGAGCAAACAGG
rnacentral:rRNA from 1 species